rnacentral:misc_RNA from 1 species
AACUUUUAGCAACGGAUCUCUUGGCUCUCGCAUCGAUGAAGAACGCAGCGAAAUGCGAUAAGUAAUGUGAAUUGCAGAAUUCAGUGAAUCAACGAAUCUUUGAACGCACCUUGCGCUCCUUGGUAUUCCGAGGAGCAUGCCUGUUUGAGUGUCAUUAAUAUAUAUAUAUCAAACUUCUCUUGUUGAGGGGUUUGGAUGUGGGGGUUUGCUGGCCUCUUAAAUGGUUCAGCUCCUCUGAAAUGCAUUAGCAGAACAACUCUGUUCAUUGGUGUGAUAACUAUCUACGCUAUUGAAUGUGAGAGGCAGUUCAGCUUUCUAACAGUCCUCGGACAAUUCAUCAUUAAUGUGACCUCAAAUCAGGUAGGACUACCCGCUGAACUUAAGCAUAUCAAUAAGCGGAGGCU